GAUGAACGCUGGCGGCGUGCCUAAUACAUGCAAGUCGAGCGAACGGACGAGAAGCUUGCUUCUCUGAUGUUAGCGGCGGACGGGUGAGUAAAACGUGGAUAACCUACCUAUAAGACUGGGAUAACUUCGGGAAACCGUAGCUAAUACCGGCUAAUAUUUUGAACCGCAUGGUUCAAAAGUGAAAGACGGUCUUGCUGUCACUUAUAGAUGGAUCCGCGCUGCAUUAGCUAGUUGGUAAGGUAACGGCUUACCAAGGCAACGAUGCAUAGCCGACCUGAGCGGGUGAUCGGCCACACUGGAACUGAGACACGGUCCAGACUCCUACGGGAGGCAGCAGUAGGGAAUCUUCCGCAAUGGGCGAAAGCCUGACGGAGCAACGCCGCGUGAGUGAUGAAGGUCUUCGGAUCGUAAAACUCUGUUAUUAGGGAAGAACAUAUGUGUAAGUAACUGUGCACAUCUUGACGGUACCUAAUCAGAAAGCCACGGCUAACUACGUG
rnacentral:rRNA from 1 species